rfam:Aedes albopictus isolate Foshan contig35713, whole genome shotgun sequence.
UGCCGAGCAACUCCUAUCCCUAUCCCCUCGUGGUACCGCCCGGAAACUACGAGCAACCUUAGGGAAGAUCGGGUAACCAACCCCGGUGGGAGCUUUGGUCGUAGGCUGACAGUGACAGGGAAGG